UACGGGGGGGGCAAGCGUUGUUCGGAAUUACUGGGCGUAAAGGGCUCGUAGGCGGCCAACUAAGUCCGACGUGAAAUCCCCGGGCUUAACCUGGGAACUGCAUUCGGGACUGCAUUGCUAGAGUAUGGGAGAGGGAAGUGGAAUUUCAGGUGUAGCGGUGAAAUGCGUAGAUAUCUGAAGGAACAUCAGUGGCGAAAGCGACUUCCUGGACCAAUACUGACGCUCAUGUGCGAAAGCGUGGGGAGCAAACAGG
rnacentral:rRNA from 1 species